UAAUUUUUUCACAUGAUAAUCAUUAUAAGAAAUAAAUGUGAAGGCAAAUAAAUAUCAAGUUAAAUAUCGGAUGGAGCUCUUAUGCAUUCUGGUAUGCUUCAAUAUAGAUAAGUUGAGAUUAUAUGAUAUUGUACUAGCUAGUGCAAAUACCCACUGGAUAGGACUCCAAUAUCGACGACUGUGUUCUCUUUGGUCAGGGAAAAGCCUCAAUUUCUUCAAUCUGAACUUUAAAACAGUUUUUACCAAGUUCAGAAAUCACUUCAUGAGUCUAAAAACCCGUGUGAGAAGGACAUCAAGCCAUCUCUUCAGCGAAUAUGAUAUAAAAAAUG
rnacentral:lncRNA from 1 species